AUAUGUUAUGAGAAAAAUUGUACAGAUUUUUGAUCAUAGAUAGUUUGGUAAAAUUAUGUUUCCUUGGAAUUGGAUUGGGAGCCACAUGAAAGUGAACCUCUCCUUAAUAUUGAUAUUCACGUUGACAUUUGCAUUAAAAUCAAGAUGUGUAAGGAAAGGAAAAAAAAUAUUCCGUAUCUAUUAAUAUUGUCUAUAUAAUGAACAUCUC
rnacentral:lncRNA from 1 species